ACUGAUAUUUAUAUACCUAAACCUUAACUAAAGAAACUGUGAAACAAAAAGUGGUUUUGUUCCCUCCUCUGAAUUAUUAAGUUUUCCGUGAUUUUAUUGUGAAUCCUUUAGACACGGAAUUAAUUAAACUAAUUUGGAAAACCGUCUUCUGAAUCCUUUAGCCACAACGACGCCGCAGACUCACUACCGACGCGCCCAUUGGUUUUUGUUGUGAUUCUUUCUUCUCACAAGUCACACACCUUCGCAGCGAUUCGUUCUCAUCACUCCAUUUCGUUCUCAUAUAUGGAUUAUAGAUAAACAAGUGCUCUGAUUGUCUUUAUGUUGACGGUUAGAUAAUUUACUCAUGGUUAUAGCACUUACAUUUAAUUGCUUGAAGGUAAGGUAAGGUAUGAGAAAAGUUAUGUUUCUUACAAGUUGGGGAAAAAAGGAAGUGAGAUCAAUAUAGCACAAAGAGGCGUAAUCUUUUAAAUAUUAUGACAUGAUGAUCGCCAUGUUAGAUUUUUGAUCAGAAGUUUUUUUUUCUAUAUAUAAUUUGUAGGAAGCUCUGUAUGAAAUGAUUUCUCUUUGUAAUGGGCUGAAACACAAUUUGCUUAUAGAUUGCAAUUCUGUUUCAAGUUGAUUAUACAUUUUGGUCCACUCCAUAUGGUGUAUAGGGAGAAUGUGAAACCAUGCUAUCUAAUCAAAGGCGUCGUCAUCUUCAAUGGUUGUGAUUCAUCAUAUUUGCCAGUCUUCGUUAUAUAUAUAUCUUUAGUUGGGCGUGUAGCGGUGUAGCCACCACCUCUCUGUUCACCAUUGCCCACUGCUUCAAAUCACAUUGUACCAAAGACUUUGUUGGUCAGACAUGCUCAAAGAGCAUCUCCAUUAGACAUAUUAAGAGAAUGUCCUAAUAUAUAACUAAAAAUAUAUAUUAAUAUCGUAUGACAAAUUUUUUUG